CGGACGGGUGAGUAACGCGUGAGAAUCUAGCUUCAGGUCGGGGACAACCACGGGAAACUGUGGCUAAUACCGGAUAUGCCGAGAGGUGAAAGGCUUGCUGCCUGAAGAUGAGCUCGCGUCUGAUUAGCUAGUAGGUGUGGUAAAAGCGCACCUAGGCGACGAUCAGUAGCUGGUCUGAGAGGAUGAUCAGCCACACUGGGACUGAGACACGGCCCAGACUCCUACGGGAGGCAGCAGUGGGGAAUUUUCCGCAAUGGGCGAAAGCCUGACGGAGCAAUACCGCGUGAGGGAGGAAGGCUCUUGGGUUGUAAACCUCUUUUCUCAGGGAAGAAAAAAAUGACGGUACCUGAGGAAUAAGCAUCGGCUAACUCCGUGCCAGCAGCCGCGGUAAUACGGAGGAUGCAAGCGUUAUCCGGAAUGAUUGGGCGUAAAGGGUCCGCAGGUGGCUAUGUAAGUCUGCUGUUAAAGAACCUAGCUUAACUAGGUAAAAGCAGUGGAAACUACAAGGCUAGAGUGCGUUCGGGGUAGAGGGAAUUCCUGGUGUAGCGGUGAAAUGCGUAGAUAUCAGGAAGAACACCAGUGGCGAAGGCGCUCUACUAGGCCGCAACUGACACUGAGGGACGAAAGCUAGGGGAGCGAAUGGGAUUAGAUACCCCAGUAGC
rnacentral:rRNA from 1 species